GACGAACGCUGGCGGCGUGCUUAACACAUGCAAGUCGAACGGUGAAGGGGUCUGCUUUUGUGGGCCCUGUAUGAGUGGCGAACGGGUGAGUAACACGUGUGUAACCUGCCCCCUUCUUCUGGAUAACCGCAUGAAAGUGUGGCUAAUACGGGAUAUUCUGGGUCUGUCGCAUGAUGGGUCUGGGAAAGAUUGCUCCUUUGGGGGUUUUUGGUGGGGGAUGGGGUCGCGGCCUCUCAGCUUGUUGGUGGGGUGAUGGCGUACCAAGGCGGUGACGGGUAGCCGGCCUGAGAGGGUGGACGGUCACACUGGGACUGAGACACGGCCCAGACUCCUACGGGAGGAAGCAGUGGGGAAUAUUGCACAAUGGGCGCAAGCCUGAUGCAGCGACGCCGCGUGAGGGAUGGAGGCCUUCGGGUUGUAAACCUCUUUCGCCAGUGAAGCAGGCCUGCUCCUUGUGGGUGGGUUGACGGUAGCUGGAUAAGAAGCGCCGGCUAACUACGUG
rnacentral:rRNA from 1 species